CUCACGGGCCGGUCCGAGCCUCCUGCCCUCCCCGCCAGGCCCGCUCCCCCGCAGGGCCUGCUGCCCACCUGUGCUCUCCACCCACACCACACCCGCACAUCCCUCGUGGCCCGACAGGUCCUUGAAGCCCACCCAAGACCCCCAUUGGCCCCAGCAGCCCAGAUCCACAAACAAGCAAACAAACAAGCAAACAAACAAACAAACAAACAAACAAACAAACAAAGGCUGCCUCGGAUCACCUGAACCAGAGCUUGGAAAAACCCGCGGGAGGAUCGUUUGGGUUUCGUUGUUUGCAAAGGCUGGCGGGCUGGGGGGGGGGGCGGACGGUGGCACCCCAUGCCCGAGACGGCCCCGUCAGGUCGCUGGCGCUGACUUGAAGCCUGGGAGGAUAGCCUCUUUCUGCACAGGGAACUGACUCGGGUUUGGAGCCCGCAGCUGAGGGCGCUGGGCGUGUGUCCUCAAUCCUCCUGCGGUCAGCAAUGCAGUGGCUUCGUCUGCUUUGAGUCGGAGGUCGAUUCUUACGAUUAAAGUCGAGCUGAUGUCCAAUGUUUCCUCCAGUGGGUCUCUUGACUCUGUCGAGGAGGGAGGCCUUCAGCCACCGGGGCCUCACGGGGCCUACCCGUGCGGCACCAUCACAGAGCUCUCCGUCACUGCCCCUUGUGGGGGUGAGGGAAGGGGCGUGUUUGGGGGUGGGGGGUGUGUGCGCGCGCGCGUGCACGCACGCUGGCGGGCGGGUGUCCCGGGGCCUGGCCAGCCCUCCGCUAUCAGCACGCAUGGAUGCUGACGUGAGGACCAGCAGGGUGACAAGAGAGGCUGCCUGGUGGGUGACCGCGCUGGGCAGAGCCACAACCCGCUCGCCUUUCAGUUCUCCACCCAGGGGCCCCUCCUGCGAGCCACCCAUAGGGGUCCCUGGUCCCUCCCUCAGACGUCGUCUCUCCACCACGGCCCGAGAUCAUCUUUCUUCUCCAGUGGGUUCCUUGUCUUGCGUACCACCCUCUCCACCCCCCACCCCCACCCCCACCCCACCCGGCUUGCC
rnacentral:lncRNA from 1 species